rnacentral:lncRNA from 1 species
UUUUUUCUUUUUAGGGCCACACCUGUGGCAUAUGGAAGUUCCCAGGCUAGAGGUCAAAUCAGACCUGCAGCCACUGGCCUACACCACAGCCACAGCAAUACUAGAUCCAAGCCAUGUAUGUGACCUACACCAUAGCUCACAGCAACACAGAUCCUUAACCCACUGAGAAAGACCAGGGACUGAACACACAUCCUCAUGGUUCCUAGUCGGAUUCAUUAACCACUGUGCCAUGAUGGGAACUCCCUGAUUAACACAUUUUAAAGGAUCACUCUGGCUGCUCUGCUGAAAAUAUAUUAUAUGGAGCGGGGGACGAAAAGAGAAGCAAGAAGAACAGGGAGGAUGCAGUGGCAUUAAUCAAUGAGAGGUGAUGGUAGCUUCAACCAGCCAGUGGCAGGAGCAGUGGUUGGGCUGUGAAUAUAUUUUGAAGAAAAAUUAGAUGGUAUUUACUAAUAUAGUUGGAGUCAGGUGUGAAAAAGAGAGGCGGCAAGGAUGACCCCAAGGCUUGUGGGGAAGCUAGAAGGAUGCUCUUAUCUUCAACAGAGAUGAGGACAAUUUUGGGAUAACAGGGUUUAGACAGACAUCAGGAAUUCAUUUUGGUCAGGUUAAAUCUAAGGUAUUUACUGACGCCAAGGGAGACACUGAAUUAACAGGUAUGAACAUGAAUCUGGCACUCAAGAAGGAAUUCUGGAAAGGACACAGAGGAGUUCUCUUUGUGGCUCAGUGGGUUAAGAACCCGACUAGUAUCCACAAGGAUGUGUGCUCCAUCCCUGGCCUGGUUCCGUGGGUGAAGGACCCGGUGUUGCCAUGAGUUGUCACAUAGGUCACAGAUGCAGCUUGGACCUAGCACUGCUAUGGUGGUAGCACAGGCAGCAGAUGCAGCUCAGAUUCAACCCCUGGCCUGGGAAUUUCCACAUGCCACAGGUGUGUCCAUAAAAAGAAAAAAAAGUAUACAGCAAGAGAGUAGGAGGAAAUGACUGCAUUUGGGAGGUGACAGCACACAGACUGCAUCUAAAACACAGAGCCCAGGACUUCCCUGAUGGCCAAGCAGUUGAAGAUCUGGUGUUGUCACUGCUGUGGCAUGGGUUCCAUCCCUUAUCCUGGCCUGGGAGCCUCUGCAUGACAUGGGCAUGGCACAAAAAAAAAAAAAAAAAAAAAGUCUGGAUGAAAUCACAAGGAAGGGUGUGUAGAUAGCGGGCAGAAAGUCUAGACUGAGCCCCGGAUCACUCAAAAUAUAAAAAGUCAGGAAAAGGAGGGGAAAAAAAAAAAAAAAAAAAAAAAAAGACUGAGGAGCAGCUAGUGAUAUAUGGAAAGAAUCAAGGGGAAGUGUCCCAGAGGCUUCGAGAACAGGUGUUUCAAGAGGGAGUGGUCUCCUUCAUGAAAUUCAGCUGAGAGGGCAGGAAAAUGAAGUCUUGAACUUUAAUACCACUGGCUUAAUGACCCUUGGCUUUCACACCAUGGAUGUCAUUAGAGCUUUGGCAAAACCAACAGGAUGGAGAGGUGGCAGCAAAAGCCUCAUCCUCAGACUUCCCAUAAUGGUGCAGCAAAAACGAAUCCGACUAGAAAUGAUGAGGCUGUGGGUUCAAUCCCGGGUCUCUCUCAGUGGGUUAAGGACCCGGCGUUGCUAUGAGCUAUGGUGUGGGUCACAGACGCAGCUUGGAUCUGGCGUUGCUGUAGCUGUGGCAUAGGCUAGCAGCUGUAGCUCCAAUUAGACCCCUGGCCUGGGAACCUCCAUGUGCCAAGGGUGUAGCUCUAAAAAGACAAAAGACCAGGAGUUCCCAUCAUGGCUCAGUGGUUAACGAAUCCAACUAGGAACCAUGAGGUUGCGGGUUUGAUCCCUGGCCUUGCUCAGUGUGUUAAGGAUCUGGCAUUGCCAUGAGCUGUGGUGUAGGUUGCAGGCACAGCUCAGAUCCCACAUUGCUGUGGCUCUGGCAUAGGCCAGUUGCUAUGACUCCCAUUAGACCCCUAGUCUGGGAACCUCCAUAUGCCAUGGGAGCAGCCCAAGAAAUGGCAAAAAGACAAAAAAUAAAUAAAUGAAUAAGACAAAAGACCAAAAAAAAAAAAAAAAGCCUCAUCCUCGUAGAUUCCAGGGAGAACAAUCCAAUUUCCAAUUCACUGGAAUACUGAGAAUAGAAGAACAAGUUAAAUGACACCAUGGAGGAUGCAGCAGCAGAAUGCAGACUGUGCGAAAAUCCAUGGGACAGAUGGCCUAGAUUCUUCCACAGAUAAACUACAAGGAAAAAUGAAAGAGAUGGAGGAGGAACUUACAGACUGAAACAAGACUUAAGAGACAUAGCAAUCACCAUGUGUAGACUUAUUUAAGUUCUGAUUCAGGCAAACUAAGAGAAAAAAUGCAUAACAAACAUUUUUGGAAAAGCAUAACAUUGUUGGGAAAAAAGUAUAACAUUGUUGGAAAAAAUGUAUAACGUUGAAAAAAAUGUAUAACAUUCAAAAACUGGACAUGUGGGGAGGUUGAGGUUUUUGUUGUGGUAGUCAUAAUAAAUUUUUUUUAAAAAAAGAGUCCUUACCUUUAGAGCUGAAAUAUUUAUAAUUAAAAGGAUUGCUGUCUGAGAUGUGCUUCAAACUAAGAUGGGAGGGAGACCUGGGUAGGGAUUUAGAUGGAACAAGACUGUCCAAAGCUGGUAACACCUGAAGCUGGAGGACGGGUUCAGGAGGGUUCAUUAUACAAGUCUAUCUAUUUUUGCCUAGAUUGGAGUUUUCUGUAAUAAAAAGGUUAAAAAGCAGAGAGAGGGAAAAUGGAGAAGAAAGAAUUGGAGAUAGCAAGUACAGACUGGUCUAAAGUGGAGCAGAGAAAUGCAGCACUGGAGGGAGAUGUGGAUCUGAAGAGUUUUGGGGGUUUUUUUUGUGGGGGGUUUUUUUGGGGGGGCCAUACCUAUGGCAUACAGAAGUUCUGGAGCCAGGGAUCAGACCCCUGCCAUAGCAGCAACCUAACCCACAACAGUGACAAUGCUAGAUCCUUAAUGCACUGAGUCACCAGGGAACUCCUAGGGAGUUUUUGUUACAGAGAUGGGCAGUGUUGCAGAAUGCCUACACCCUGGUGGGAAGGAGCCAUUGGAAGGGGAGGAUCUGAUGGGGCAGGGGAGAAAGGGGAGAGAUGCCAGUGUGACUUCCAGGAGCAAGUGAAGGGGUAGGGUGGUGAGCCCACAGUAACAGGAAGAAGGGGGAUACCGGCUGCAUGUAAGUCUCCAGAGAGUGACCCUGUUUUCUCAAGAGGGCUAGAAAGCAGGGCCAGCAACUGAGAGUGUGGGGUUGAAGAGCCGGGGAGAAUGGGAGGGAAAAUGGAACAGGAAAGGAGCAUGAAUUCUCAACUGCAAGAGGGCCCACCGUGAGGGCAAUGGGCAUGCCUCAAGCGUCUCUGACCAGCGUGCUUUGGGGUCUGUCUCCAGCCGCGUUCAGGUGAGCAUACACAAAGAUAACCAGUGACAAAGGGUCAUCUGCAGGUGCCCAGGGGAAAACCCAAGCAUGAAAAGCUAUAAAAAUUUGCAGACGCCCAGACACCUCAGGGGGGACUGAGAACAGUGACAGCAAAGGCUCCCAGACAGAACCUGUGGGCUCUGUGGAAAUGGGUGGAGACCAGCCUCAUUGCAGUGGAACAUUCCAGACAAGGUUGUUAAAGUGAAUUCAGCCUUUGAGGGGACACUGAGGUUGGGCAACAGGGAGCCAGCUA